rnacentral:rRNA from 1 species
UACGAAGGGGGCUAGCGUUGUUCGGACUUACUGGGCGUAAAGCGCACGUAGGCGGACUCGUAAGUUGGGGGUGAAAUCCCGGGGCUCAACCCCGGAAUUGCCUUCAAGACUGCAAGUCUGGAGGUCAGGAGAGGCGAGCGGAAUUCCGAGUGUAGAGGUGAAAUUCGUAGAUAUUCGGAGGAACACCAGUGGCGAAGGCGCCUCGCUGGACUGAUACUGACGCUGAGGUGCGAAAGCGUGGGGAGCAAAUAGG